CGGGAGAAAAAGAAAUGGGCUAUGUGACAGGACUACUAAGCUUUACUUGAAUAAAAUAGGUAAUGUGCCCUGAGGGUUGGGCAUUAUGCCGUAUUUAAAUGAAAACAAGUACGACAUUAUAACAUAAUUAUUCUCCCUAUCAGGAUCGGAAGUUGAAGGUCUGAGACCAAGACAACGUCUCAUACUAUGCAUAUGAUAGAUGCGGAAAACAAUCGCUAAGAAAGUGAUGGAGAGUGAAAU
rnacentral:lncRNA from 1 species